rnacentral:lncRNA from 1 species
AAAAAAAAAAAAAAAAAAAAUUGUGCUAAGUGAAAUGAGCUAGAUGCAAAAGGACAAAUCCUGUAGGAUUCCACUUAUGUGAAAUAUUUAGAACGGUCAAAUUCAUACAGACAGAAAGUAGAAAAGUGGUUACCAGGGGCUAGAGGGAGGAGAGAAUACAGAGCUAUUCUUUAAUAGGUACUGAGCUUCAGUUUGGGGUGAUGAAAGUAUUGCGGAGAUGGAUAGUGAUGAUGGUGGCUCAACAAUAUAAAGACGAGCAAGAAUGCCACUGAAAUGUACACUUUAAAUGAUUAAAAUGAAAAUUCUUAUAUAUAUUUUACCAUAGUUUUAAAAAAUCUAAUUAAAAAAAACUAAAGAAGGACAAAAAUGACUGAAAGUGAGGCCAGUGGACCUGGAGAGGUCAGGAUGAGGAAGACUUAGAGUGACUUGUGAGGUCCUGGGGACUGAUGAGCCAAGUGGGCACAGACAUUUCAGCACCGUUAUAGGGGGGAUAGGCAACCAAUACAAAAGAAACAGAUUAUUCAUCUUAGAAGAAGCCAACUAGGUGGUUUGCUGAAGCCCAUAAACCAUGUUCCUCUUUCCCAAAGUCAGGAUGAUAGACCACCCAGGAGGACUUGGAUCAUUCAGAACCUAGAUGUUACACCCCAAGAAGGGAGAGAAGGAAGUAAAAGGAGAAAAUCCUAAUUUGACUAUUUAACCAAAAAAGAUUGAGUUUAAACUGCAAGUAACUGAGAUUACUUUGGAUUACAGAGUUAGGUUUUCCAUUAUCAGUGAAAUAACCCAUGAGCUAAAGUGAGUUAUAAGGAAAUCAUUUACAUUUUGCACACAUGAAUGUGACUGAGAAAUGUAUUUCCAUUGUGUUGUUAUAUACCUUUUCUAAACCUAAAACUAAGGUGUUUCUCAAAUCUGUGGCAAUAAUGGGGCACUUUGGUGUGGAACAGGGAGUUCUUGGUUCAAGAUUAUUGCAUCUUCUUUGCACUCACCAUCUGAUACAACCACAUAGUCAUAUUGAUGGUCAUCUUCUAGACCAACCCCAGAACAUGGGUAUUUAUGAAGCUGGAUCUUUGGGGUACCUACAGUUAAAACAAUGAACAAACAUGGCUCUUCAGGUCCCAUGUGGCACCUAGGCCUUUGAGAACAUCUCUCUUUUUUUUUUUUU